rnacentral:rRNA from 1 species
UUAGUAAUUUCGGGGUUAGUAAGUUGGUCAUGCCUCCGGUAUGUACUGGUCUUUACUGAUUCCUCCUUCUUGAUGAACUGUAAUGUCAUUAAUUUGGUGUUGCAGGGAAUCAGGACUGUUACUUUAGAAAAAUAAGAGUAGUUAAAGCAGGCAUACGCUUGAAUACAUUAGCAUGGAAUAAUGAAAUAGGUACGUUUGAUCCUAUUUUGUUGGUUUCUAGGAUUGACGUAAUGAUUAAUAGGGAUAGUUGGGGGCAUUAGUAUUCAAUUGUCAGAGGUGAAAUUCUUGGAUUUAUUGAAGACUAACUACUGCGAAAGCAUUUGCCAAGGAUGUUUUCAUUAAUCAAGAACGAAAGUUAGGGGAUCGAAGACGAUCAGAUACCGUCGUAGUCUUAACCAUAAACUAUGCCGACUAGGGAUCGGAUGAUGUUAUUUUUAAUGACUC